CUUGACAAAGCCAACCCUGCCGUGAUGCAGGGACGGAAAGCCACGGGUCUUAAAGAGAUAGCCGGGUUGCCUUGG
rnacentral:ncRNA from 1 species